GUAUUUUUUAUUAGGUCGACGUCCGAUUGAGAUUCUGUUGUGCUCUUGCUAUGCUUACUCAGCCAAACGCGACUCAUGGUUUAUUUUAUGUAGUUUACUGCUGAUUUGUUCUUCUGAAACAUACAUAUCACAUUUGUAUUAAAAAAUCGACACCCCAGCCUUCGAGAUUAAAUUAGGGGUUUCAGAUUCUCUCAACCCCCCAUAAUUCGCAACCUAAAAUGUGGCAACAUGUACUCUCUUUCUAUGCUAAUAUAAGAAGACACAGUCUAUCGAUAUAAUAUAAUGUAUACUAAUUUUCAGCAGACAUUUCUGAACGUAUUUUAUCCUCUUGUUUUGUCAGGGUGUUGGAUGCAGAACUUGUUUCCACCAGCAGAUGGCGACAUAUCACCGCUACGUCAUACUAAUGGCAUUUCAUUCAUGUUAUGUGAGUGUGUGUACGCGUGCAUGUGUCGGGAACGUUUCCCAUCAGGUCUCGGAGACACUCCUGGAGAUCAGAUAAAUGACAGGAGAUCAUCCCAACUGCUGACGUCCCAAGACGGUGUGUAUGACCAUUCAGGAAAAACAGACUCUUCAACAAGUUGCUCAAAUGGCAAGGGUUGUUAAAAGGUUAACCUCAAUAAACAAACCUCAGAAGUGGUGCAAGUCCUCCCCAUUAGGGUGAAAAGGUUAUUCUUUAAAGCUGAAACAGUUCAUCGCUCCUGACAUAUAGCGGGGGUGGGGGGAUGGGGGAAAUUAAGAUCCUGAAGGAUCCUGAAUCUCAAUGUUAUUUUUAAUAAAGCCAUUGACACAAAAAACUUGAUCAAAUUCAUGCUCCCAGUAAAACAGAGCAAUAUGGCAGUGUGCAACCAUCAUUUGUCACAAAAUACACACGCAAAAA
ensembl:lncRNA